UACAUGCAAGUCGAGCGGACUUGAUGGAGCUUGCUCCAUCAUGUUAGCGGCGGACGGGUGAGUAACACGUGGGCAACCUGCCUGUAAGACUGGGAUAACUCCGGGAAACCGGAGCUAAUACCGGAUAGUAUCUUGAACCGCAUGGUUCAAGUUGGAAAGACGGUUUCGGCUGUCACUUACAGAUGGGCCCGCGGCGCAUUAGCUAGUUGGUGAGGUAAUGGCUCACCAAGGCAACGAUGCGUAGCCGACCUGAGAGGGUGAUCGGCCACACUGGGACUGAGACACGGCCCAGACUCCUACGGGAGGCAGCAGUAGGGAAUCUUCCGCAAUGGACGAAAGUCUGACGGAGCAACGCCGCGUGAGUGAUGAAGGUUUUCGGAUCGUAAAACUCUGUUGUUAGGGAAGAACAAGUGCGAGAGUAACUGCUCGCACCUUGACGGUACCUAACCAGAAAGCCACGGCUAACUACGUGCCAGCAGCCGCGGUAAUACGUAGGUGGCAAGCGUUGUCCGGAAUUAUUGGGCGUAAAGCGCGCGCAGGCGGUUUCUUAAGUCUGAUGUGAAAGCCCCCGGCUCAACCGGGGAGGGUCAUUGGAAACUGGGAAACUUGAGUGCAGAAGAGGAGAGUGGAAUUCCACGUGUAGCGGUGAAAUGCGUAGAGAUGUGGAGGAACACCAGUGGCGAAGGCGACUCUCUGGUCUGUAACUGACGCUGAGGCGCGAAAGCGUGGGGAGCGAACAGGAUUAGAUACCCUGGUAGUCCACGCCGUAAACGAUGAGUGCUAAGUGUUAGAGGGUUUCCGCCCUUUAGUGCUGCAGCUAACGCAUUAAGCACUCCGCCUGGGGAGUACGGUCGCAAGACUGAAACUCAAAGGAAUUGACGGGGGCCCGCACAAACAGUGGAGCAUGUGGUUUAAUUCGAAGCAACGCGAAGAACCUUACCAGGUCUUGACAUCCU
rnacentral:rRNA from 1 species